AGAGUUUGAUCCUGGCUCAGGACGAACGCUGGCGGCGUGCCUAAUACAUGCAAGUCGAACGAAACUUUCUUACACCGAAUGCUUGCAUUCACCGUAAGAAGUUGAGUGGCGGACGGGUGAGUAACACGUGGGUAACCUGCCUAAAAGAAGGGGAUAACACUUGGAAACAGGUGCUAAUACCGUAUAUCUCUAAGGAUCGCAUGAUCCUUAGAUGAAAGAUGGUUCUGCUAUCGCUUUUAGAUGGACCCGCGGCGUAUUAACUAGUUGGUGGGGUAACGGCCUACCAAGGUGAUGAUACGUAGCCGAACUGAGAGGUUGAUCGGCCACAUUGGGACUGAGACACGGCCCAAACUCCUACGGGAGGCAGCAGUAGGGAAUCUUCCACAAUGGACGCAAGUCUGAUGGAGCAGCGCCGCGUGAGUGAAGAAGGUCUUCGGAUCGUAAAACCCUGUUGUUAGAGAAGAACACGAGUGAGAGUAACUGUUCAUUCGAUGACGGUAUCUAACCAGCAAGUCACGGCU
rnacentral:rRNA from 1 species